GUCGAACGAGAGACCUUCGGGUCUCUAGUGGCGAACGGGUGAGUAACACGUAGGGAACCUGCCCGCGCACCGGGAAUACGCUCUGGAAACGGAGAACAAAUCCCGAUGUACAGGAAGGAGGCAUCUUCUUUCUGUGAAACAUCCUUUAGGGGAUGGGGCGCGGAUGGACCUGCGGUGCAUUAGUUUGUUGGCGGGGUAAAGGCCCACCAAGACGAUGAUGCAUAGCCGGCCUGAGAGGGCGGACGGCCACAUUGGGACUGAGACACGGCCCAGACUCCUGCGGGAGGCAGCAGUAGGGAAUUUUCGUCAAUGGGCGCAAGCCUGAACGAGCGAUGCCGCGUGAGUGAAGAAGGCCUUCGGGUCGUAAAGCUCUGUUGCGGGGGAAAAAAGGCAGCAUCAGGAAAUGGGUGCUGACUGAUGGUGCCCCGCCAGAAAGUCACGGCUAACUACGUGCCAGCAGCCGCGGUAAUACGUAGGUGGCGAGCGUUAUCCGGAAUGAUUGGGCGUAAAGGGUGCGCAGGCGGUCCUGCAAGUCUGGAGUGAAACGCAUGAGCUCAACUCAUGCAUGGCUUUGGAAACUGGAGGACUGGAGAGCAGGAGAGGGCGGUGGAACUCCAUGUGUAGCGGUAAAAUGCGUAGAUAUAUGGAAGAACACCAGUGGCGAAGGCGGCCGCCUGGCCUGUUGCUGACGCUGAGGCACGAAAGCGUGGGGAGCAAAUAGGAUUAGAUACCCUAGUAGUCCACGCCGUANACGAUGAGGACCAAGUGUUGGGGGUGANACCUCAGUGCUGA
rnacentral:rRNA from 1 species